rnacentral:lncRNA from 1 species
CAAGGCAACAGACGCAUGAGAGUGAGGUAUUUAUCUGAGGGCGAUUGAAGUCACCAGCUUAACAGUAGUGGAAAGACCUUAAGCCAGAGAACUCCAGGUUCAAGAACCACCACCUGCAAACUUGGCAAAUUUGGACAAAUGUCUCUCUGAGUUUCAUUGUCUUCAUCCACAAAUAAAGCAAGAUUACUUCGCCUACAGAAUUGCGGGACACCCUCUUUUUAAAGGACAUUCAAUUCAAAUGUAUCUUCUCUGGUUAAAGUAUGGUGAAGUCUGUCCUGUGGGCACUCCCCAUUGACUCCUAGCAGCUCUUGAGCCCCAUCUUCAGGAUCCGUACUUUGAUAGUCACUGACAAUUAGCUUUGAAAAUCUAUAGUUCCAAUCCUGUGAAAUGAGAAGAAUGUUGAAGCUAUAAAGGAGGUCUUUGCCUGCAUUCAGAUUCUGACACCAAAGACUCCUCUGAUUAUACUGAAGUAUGUAAGAAAACCUUCUCUUGAAAUCAAGGACCAUUUCUCUUCAUCUUAUCUUGAGCUACAUACCAAAUAUGAGUACACAUAGUUAGGAUUCAAUAAAUAAUUUAAGAU